rnacentral:rRNA from 1 species
UGCAGUUCAAGCUCGUAGUUGGAUUUUGGUUAAGAGGGCGCGGUCGGCCGUUUGGUCUGUACUGCGUUGUCUUGACUUCCUGAUGAGGACAUGCUCUUGGUUAACGCUGAGACAUGGAGUCAUCGUGGUUACUUUGAAAAAAUUAGAGUGUUCAAAGCGGGCUUACGCUUGAAUAUAUUAGCAUGGAAUAACACUAUAGGACUCCUGUCCUAUCUCGUUGGUCUCGGGAUGGGAGUAAUGAUUAAGAGGAACAGUUGGGGGCAUUCGUAUUUCAUUGUCAGAGGUGAAAUUCUUGGAUUUAUGAAAGACGAACUUCUGCGAAAGCAUUUGCCAAGGAUGUUUUCAUUAAUCAAGAACGAAAGUUGGGGGCUCGAAGAUGAUUAGAUACCAUCCUAGUCUCAACCAUAAACGAUGCCGACUAGGGAUUGGUGGAUGUUAAUUGAUGACUUCACCAGCACCUUAUGAGAAAUCAAAGUUUUUGGGUUCCGGGGGGAGUAUGGUCGCAAGGCUGAAACUUAAAGGAAUUGACGGAAGGGCACCACCAGGCGUGGAGCCUGCGGCUUAAUUUGACUCAACACGGGGAAACUUACCAGGUCCAGACAUAAGUAUGAUUGACAGAUUGAGAGCUCUUUCUUGAUUCUAUGGGUGGUGGUGCAUGGCC